GUCUAGGUCUAUGCCAACAGGGCUUGUCCCACAGCCGCUUAUCACUGGAAACACUUCAUAGUGUAUUUCUGUGGUUUUGCUUUACUCACAGGACUUUGUUUUAGGUCUGUGUGAAGGAACUACAGACAAUU